GAUGAAGAACGUAGCGAAAUGCGAUACUUGGUGUGAAUUGCAGAAUCCCGUGAACCAUCGAGUCUUUGAACGCAAGUUGCGCCUCAAGCCAUUAGGUUGAGGGCACGUCUGCCUGGGCGUCACAUAUCGUUGCCUGAUGCCAGUUUCCUCGUGAUGGGUGACUGUGCAGGGCGAAUGAUGGCUUCCCGUGAGCAUUGUUGCCUCAUGGUUGGUUGAAAAUUGAGUCCUUGGUAGGGAGCGCCGUGAUAGAUGGUGGUUGAGUGACGAACGAGACCCAAUCAUGUGAGACCCCUACCGAAUUUGGCCUUCAUGUCCCACAUCCGUCUUUGGAACGCUCAUGACGAGACCUCAGGUCAGGCGGGGCGACCCGCUGAGCUUAAGCAUAUCAAUAAGCGGAGGA
rnacentral:misc_RNA from 1 species